rnacentral:tRNA from 1 species
GAUCUUAAGGUGUACAGCAUGUGCGAUUGCAAGUCGUGAGGGACUGAAGAGAGUUCAGUUAAGAUUU